UCUCGCCUGGCGGAGUGGUGGAUUGGCAUCUCACUAGCCACGAUUGACAUGGCACCCGAAGGCAUUUUGCCGGAGGAAGCGUCCAAACCGGGAAAUCCGGAGUCUCGUGCGAGUGCCCUUCUGCCGCCCGUCGGAGCUGUUCAGCACCGGGUUUUGGUUCUCCCUAAGUCCUGGGAGGCCCGGAAGGCUGGCAGCGCCAUGUAGCAAAUGCGAUGGACCUGUUGAAAAGGACGAAACGGAUUAAGACGAGCACUUAACCGUCGUCUGGAAAGAGACGGCUGAUUGACACGAGCCAAUGAUAACUGUGCGCUUGGUCGAGCUCCGGUCGGUUCGCAACGCUUCCUGCCAUCUCAAGCCCUUUCCACUCGGCGAGGCGCUGGUUGUUGCGUUCUUCACGCACAAUUUUCAUCAGCGCCCUGGCACCAAGUGUUGGGUUCCCAUAGUACUUAUCACCUAUAGAGAACCCACGGGCCGGACAGUCAGGAACCAUCACUCGCUGGUCCGAGUCUUCGGAGAGCAGUCCCAGGGGUUUCAGGACAAGCACCCUCAUCCCCUUGGACACACUUUCGGCAAUGCCCGAUCUUCCCGCAGAACCAAACAACUCGCGCGCGACCCCAAGACCAGGGGUACAUUGCAUGUACGCCCAACAGUAGACUAGUGACUCGAUCAGGCCAUCCUCAAUGGACGCCCAACCAAGUCCCCCGUCUGCUGGCUUCAGAUACAAGCGCGCUCGACUGCAGGCGGCAAAACGCCACCCACAUUCAUCGCCAUUCGAUUCACACAAGAGUUUACGGACAAAUUUGUCGUAAUUGGCCGCCUGGUCUCUAAGGCUUGUCCAAGCUGGACCGCCCGCAAUGACAUUAAGGAAGAGGUACUUUGCCACAGGUGUCACUACAGUGCGGGCCAACGUAGGGAGACGGGAGUUUCGGGAUUGCAUUGCGGCACAGGAAGGUCAGCUGAAGGCGGUCGAGUUGUUCGAUCCGAAACGACCGGCAAGAGAGAAGGAGUGUCGGAGGUGUCAUGCUGGGAGGGAGACCGAGCAGCACAUCCUUACGGGGUGUCCUUGGUCCCGGACCGGCUUGAUGCUGGAACGACACAACAGGGUGGUUCGUCAGAUCCACACCUAUCUCUGCCGGAAAUUCGAUCUGCCUGUGGCUCACCACACCUUGCCGCUGCACGCAGUCCUGGAAAACGACCGUGCAAAACUCAUUCAUGACGUACCAUUGUUCACGCCGAAUGUCCGAUCGACUCAAGACGAUGAAGGUCUUGUCCAACAUCACGGCCUGCGAAGCAACCGCCCGGAUCUGGUUGUCUUCGACAAGAAGGCCCGAAGCAUCAAUGUUAUCGAAGUGUCUGUGCCAUGGCGUGAGAACCUGGUCACUCAGGAACUCAUCAAGUGGCGCAAAUACGCGAUGAACUCAGAGAUUGAGCCCUUGGAAUUGGCCUCAAAGGAGGUGCCCGGGCCGAAUCUCAGAGCGCAGUUGGGGGAACUGUACGGCGCUGCCUACCCUGGUGGUGUCACGGUGACCCCGAUUGUGAUUGGUGCUCUCGGAGAAGUGUUGCCGAAUGUGAUGGACAGACUGAAGGAGAUAGGUGCCGACGGAAAGCGAAAGGCACCAGAUCUCUUGGAGUCGAUGCAGAGGGCAGCAUUGAUUGGCUCGGGUCGCCUCAUCCGAGCACAUCUCUGCCUUCCGAGGACUGGCGUGUGAACAAUCCGCUGAGCUGCAAAGGAAUCACAAGACUGAAGCUACAGCUGGAAGUCUGUGUGAUGACUUAAAGGGUUACCGUCCUUAGGGUGCUUGCGCCCAAGGCAUUCGUGAGUAGUAGAAGAGGGCAGUGCGAACGGUUUUUGACUUUCGGGAAAAGAACUUUUGCAUUGCGCAAUGGCGACCAUGGUGCCAUUGCUAUUUGGUCCUGGUCCCACUCCUGGGGAGUAGGCGGGUUCGCUUAACCCGUCUGAGAUCCAGACCACCCGUCACUGUUAAGAUUCCGGUGACGGACUCUUCUUAAGUGAUGGGACGCGCACGAAUGGAUCAACGAGAUUCCCACUGUCCCUAUCUACUAUCUAGCGAAACCACAGCCAAGGGAACGGGCUUGGCAAAUUUAGCGGGGAAAGAAGACCCUGUUGAGCUUGACUCUAGUCUGACUUUGUGAAGAAUCAUGAGAGGUGUAGCAUAAGUGGGAGCCGCAAGGCGCCAGUGAAAUACCACUACUUUCAUCGAUUCCUUACUUAAUCGGUAAAACGGGAGUGCGCCCGCAUGGGUGUCCAUUUUGGUGUUAAGGCGGGCCACCCGGUGGCCCGUCGACCCGCGCCGAUGACAGUGUCAGGCGGGGAGUUUGACUGGGGCGGUACAUCUGUCAAAGCGUAACGCAGGUGUCCUAAGGCGAGCUCAGAGAGGACGGAAACCUCUCGUAGAGCAAAAAGGCAAAUGCUUACUUGAUCCUGAUUUUCAGUACGAAUACGGACCGCGAAAGCGUGGCUUAUCGAUCCUUUUGAAUUGUAAAGUUUCCAGCAAGAGGUGUCAGAAAAGUUACCACAGGGAUAACUGGCUUGUGGCGGCCAAGCGUCCAUAGCGACGUCGCUUUUUGAUCCUUCGAUGUCGGCUCUUCCUAUCAUUGCGAAGCAGAAUUCGCCAAGCGUUGGAUUGUUCACCCACCAAUAGGGAACGUGAGCUGGGUUUAGACCGUCGUGAGACAGGUUAGUUUUACCCUACUAAAGACCGGUUGCUAUGAUAGUAAUCCUGCUUAGUACGAGAGGAACCGCAGGUUCAGACAUUUGGUUCAUGUGCUUGGUCGAUAGACCAAUGGUGCGAAGCUACCAUCUGAGGGAUUAUGACUGAACGCCUCUAAGUCAGAAUCCCGCCUAGGCAAGAUAGCAAUACCAUUGCUCCCCGGUGUCGGGAGGCACUCUGUAUGCCCUCUUCUCUGAGGUGCAGCCCAAAUGCCCCAGCAUCUGGCCCGAUGCGAGCGCUUAGUUGUGCUCGCAUUGCCAUAGCCGUAGCACUCGUGUGCCAUGGUGGAACGUCGGGGCGCAAAAUCACUUGUAUACGACUUGACUACUGGUCAGGGGGUUGUUAGCAGUAGAGCAGCUUUUAUACUGCGAUCUGUUGAGACUUAGCCCUUGAUCGGAUGAUUUGUCUUCCUU
rnacentral:rRNA from 1 species